GAGGAGUGUGACCCAGGUGCCGCUUCCUCUCGCCGCCGAGGGUCAGGAGCCCGGGAGCGCGACCCUCCCCCGGCCCGGCCUGGCCCGGCCUGGCCAGUCCCCGCGGUCUCUGCCCGGGCUGACGCCCAGGAAUGUGGUCGACGAGAAGCCCCAACAGCACGGCGUGGCCUCUCAGCCUCGGUCCUGGGUUAAAGGGACAGGAGCCACUGUCAUUAUUCCAAUUCAGUCACUGAGGAGGUGAGGCUGAGAGGCAUUCUCAUGUCUGAAGAGGAUGGGCUUGCCUGACCCCCGCCCCCGUGCCCAGCCCAGCCCAGCAGCCCAAGCAGUUCUCCAGGACUCAGGUUUCAGACCUUCAACACUUGCCUUGGGAGACAAACAGCGGUGCAGCCCUUGCUUGCAAGCCAUUCCACAUUAGACUUCGGAUUGAUUUAUGGCAGGAUCCCUGCUGUGCGAGAACUGCAGGGGGGGUGGGGGGCGGCUAUUUCUUGCUGCUAACUCAGGCAGGAUGUGUCUAUAUCCUGUCUCAGUUUAUGUAGCUGCUCAUCAGAGCCAGAGGUUAGAGCGGAGAGGACCCACUUCCGCCAGGCCGGCCUGCUCUGCUCAGCUCAGCUGGGCUAGGCCCCAAUGCCACAGUUACUGCGCGUGAGUCAUGCACAGCAAUCCAUUGCCUUGCCCUUGGAUGGAAGGGGUCAAGGCUCAGUGAGAAGACGGCCAGGUUUGGCAGCUUUAUAUAGAAUUCACCGCCUCUGGCAGAAGCAGAGGAUUG
rnacentral:lncRNA from 1 species